rnacentral:tRNA from 1 species
UAACCCGAACUGCCCAGUUUCGUCGUUCUGCCCUCCGGAGGCAGAGGUCAGAGGUUCGAAUCCUCUCGGGUGCGCCA